AAAAACCCUUCCGUAAGGGGUACCUGCGGAGGGAUCAUUACCGAGUUUACAACUCCCAAACCCAAUGUGAACCAUACCAAACUGUUGCCUCGGCGGGGUCACGCCCCGGGUGCGUCGCAGCCCCGGAACCAGGCGCCCGCCGGAGGGACCAACCAAACUCUUUACUGUAGUCCCCUCGCGGACGUUAUUUCUUACAGCUCUGAGCAAAAAAUUCAAAAUGAAUCAAAACUUUCAACAACGGAUCUCUUGGUUCUGGCAUCGAUGAAGAACGCAGCGAAAUGCGAUAAGUAAUGUGAAUUGCAGAAUUCAGUGAAUCAUCGAAUCUUUGAACGCACAUUGCGCCCGCCAGUAUUCUGGCGGGCAUGCCUGUCCGAGCGUCAUUUCAACCCUCGAACCCCUCCGGGGGGUCGGCGUUGGGGAUCGGGAACCCCUCAGACGGGAUCCCGGCCCCGAAAUACAGUGGCGGUCUCGCCGCAGCCUCUCCUGCGCAGUAGUUUGCACAACUCGCACCGGGAGCGCGGCGCGUCCACGUCCGUAAAACACCCAACUUUCUGAAAUGUUGACCUCGGAUCAGGUAGGAAUACCCGCUGAACUUAAGCAUAUCUAAACCCGGAAGGAAAAAUAUUUUU
rnacentral:rRNA from 1 species